ensembl:lncRNA
CAAAACAAUUCAAUAAAGUCAUAAAUCUAGCAUAUCAAAUUAUUUUAAAUGCUCAAAAUACCUUAUUUAUACAAAGCAUUACAGUUAUUUAAAAUUAUUAGCAUAUCUACUUCAAAAUAUUAAUCCUGUGGGUCUGUCUCUAUUAUCUAUAUACUCACAUGAUUUUAUAUAUUCCUGGGGUUAUGGUUUUAUUCAUUUAUGCACAGUAAUUUUAUCAGCCUGAAAAUCAAACAUUAUAAAAUAGCUCAUAUUUCAGAUUUUAUUUCAUUAACCUAUUCAUUCCUCAUGGUGUCAAGGGAUCUGGUUAUAUCUAGUAGAUUGAAACAUGAGUCAGUGUUUAUUGGGCUGGGCCUCUUCUCAGAUAAAAAUUUACAUGUUAAAUAAGAGGCAUUGUACUUUCCAAGUUUACACUUUAGAAUGUGGUAUUGAUCAAGCUUUGUUUUCAUGCUAUUUGAUAUAUUGGUUACAGAGUGAUCCACCUCCAAUUCUUUUUACUUGAAUGUGCCCUAUUAUCAUUUCAUGAUUAGUAGGAUAUCCAGAAGUUUUAUGCCUCAGGAGAUUAGGGACUGAGUUUAUAUAUACAACUUUCUAUUAGGGUCAGGCAGAUCAUCUAUCAUUUUGUCACAGGUUGUUGGAUUCUAUGUGGCUUACUCACUGUUCUCUGAAAUCACCCCCUUUGUUAAAACAUAUAAAAAUGCAUAUAAUAAUUUUUAAAUAUGACAUGUAUUUAAAUGAAAUCACCAUUUCCCUAAUUAUAAGCCUAAUCUAAUACUUAUCAUGGUUUAGUGUACUCGCCCUACUUAAAUUUUCACACUCUAAAUUUUAAAGUUUAUAUACAUAAUUAUAAUCUCAUGUUUUUUCACAUUUGCAUUCAAUUUUAUUAAUUAUAACUAUUUUUUAGAUAUACAAAUUAUUACAGUGUAUCUGUUAGAAACCACAGUUAGUUAAAUGCUUUGCCUUUUAAGAUACCACUCAGAAAAAUUUAAAAGCAUCUUUCACUUCUGGCAACAACAAGCUAUUUCAUCUCAAUUUUCCCCCCUAUUUCAAUGGAUGAGAUUAUCUCCAAAAAGUCUCAAUUCCUUUGAAUGGAAUAUGCUUUUAAAGAUCAAUGUCAGGAUACUAUAAAAAUGUAUUCUACAUAUGCCAGACUUUACUGAGAGUUCUAGAAAACAGUGAUCAUUAAGAUCAUGAGUUCAUACUGAUUUUCUAGUUAAACUACAAAAUUAGCAUUAUUUUUCAAAAACUUACUCUAACAUGAAUAUACAUCACUGUGUUCUCUCUGUCAUCUUCUAGGUUCAGAAUACUGCUUUUGCCAGCACAGUGAACAAAGCCAUCCUACUGGGACUGAUUCCCAGUCACUAAGCUCAUAAUCCCACAAAAAAAUCCAAGUAAAGAAGUCAGUAUGAAUGGGCACUUGCCCAUGCAGACAGACAUAAGAACGGAAGCUAGAGCGAAACAGAAGUCUUUUUGAAAUAGCUUCCCAGGUUGUCUAAUGGAUGAACACCUACAGACUUGAGCACCAAGAUGGGACAUCUCUUCCUGGAAACAUCAUGACAAGGCGCACCUAAGAAUGGCUGCAGGAAAGAAGAAAUUAACAUAUCCCCUUGAGAGACUGGCCAGAACCAGCAAAACUUAUACUCAAAGCCGCG